CUCAUCUAUUUGACAUACCUGGAGCAGUUAAUGUCUGCUGCUGAGGUUUCCACUACUGAUGCAAGAAAAAAGCGUCCUUCCACUUUCUAUCCGAUUGUAGCAGUCAAGAUUGCAUGAAGAAAUACAGGA